rnacentral:rRNA from 1 species
GCUGUGGAACUCCUACGGGAGGCAGCAGCGGGGAAUUUUGGACAAUGGGGGCAACCCUGAUCCAGCAACGCCGCGUGAGUGAAGAAGGCCUUCGGGUUGUAAAGCUCUGUUGUCAGGGAAGAAACGGUAGUAGCUAAUAUCUAUUACUAAUGACGGUAGCUGAAGAAUAAGCACCGGCUAACUACGUGCCAGCAGCCGCGGUAAUACGUAGGGUGCAAGCGUUAAUCGGAAUUACUGGGCGUAAAGCGUGCGCAGGCGGUUGUGUAAGUCAGCUGUGAAAUCCCCGGGCUCAACCUGGGAAUUGCAUUUGUGGCGGCACGGCUAGAGUGUGUCAGAGGGGGGUAGAAUUCCACGUGUAGCAGUGAAAUGCGUAGAUAUGUGGAGGAAUACCGAUGGCGAAGGCAGCCGCCUGGGAUAACACUGACGCUCAUGCACGAAAGCGUGGGGAGCAAACAGGAUUAGAUACCCGUGUAGUCCUACCACGU